rnacentral:rRNA from 1 species
GAUGAACGCUGGCGGCGUGCUUAACACAUGCAAGUCGAACGGAAAGGCCCAAGCUUGCUUGGGUACUCGAGUGGCGAACGGGUGAGUAACACGUGGGUGAUCUGCCCUUCACUUUGGGAUAAGCCUGGGAAACUGGGGCUAAUACCGGAUAGGACGAUGUUUGGAUGCGAUUGUGUAAAGUUGUUUCGGCGUGGGAGGAGCACGCGGCGUAUAAUCUUGUUGGUGGGGUAGUGGCGUACCAAGGCGUCGUCGGGGAGACGGCGUGAGAGGGUGUACGGCCACAUUGGGGGUGAGAGAAGGGCCAGAGUCCUCUGGGAGGGAGAAGAGGGGAAUAUUGUACAAUAGGGGCGAGCCUGAUGCAGCGAAGCCGCGUGGGGGAUGACGGCGUUCGGGUUGUAAACUCCUCUCGCUAGGGAGGAAGCGUUUUUGUGACGGUAACUGGAGAAGAAGCACCGGCUAACUACGUG